CAAGAGGCUUUCAUAAAAGCCAUAUUAAUAUAUUUUGAAUUCUUAU
rfam:Physcomitrella patens subsp. patens PHYPAscaffold_251 genomic scaffold, whole genome shotgun sequence.